UUAAAGGGACACUAUAGUCACCUGAACAACUUUAGCUUAAUGAAGCAGUUUUGGUGUAUAGAACAUGCCCCAUGCAGCCUCACUUCUCAAUCCUCUGCCAUUUAGGAGUUAAAUCCCUUUGUUUAUGAACCCUAGUCACACCUCCCUGCAUGUGACUUGCACAGCCUUCCAUAAACACUUCCUGUAAAGAAAGCCCUAUUUAGGCUUUCUUUAUUGCAAGUUCUGUUUAAUUAAGAUUUUCUUAUCCCCUGCUAUGUUAAUAGCUUGCUAGACCCUGCAAGAGCCUCCUGUAUGUGAUUAAAGUUCAAUUUAGAGAUUGAGAUACAAUUAUUUAAGGUAAAUUACAUCUGUUUGAAAGUGAAACCAGUUUUUCAUGCAGGCUCUGUCAAUCAUAGCCAGGGG